CCGGUCACGUGGGGGCGCCGGCUGCGCCUGCGGAGAAGCGGUGGCCGCCGAGCGGGAUCUGUGCGGGGAGCCGGAAAUGGUUGUGGACUACGUCUGUGCGGCUGCGUGGGGCUCGGCCGCGCGGACUGAAGGAGACUGAAGGCCCUCGGAUGCCCAGAACCUGUAGGCCGCACCGUGGACUUGUUCUUAAUCGAGGGGGUGCUGGGGGGACCCUGAUGUGGCACCAAAUGAAAUGAACAAAGCUCCACAGUCCACAGGCCCCCCACCCGCCCCAUCCCCCGGACUCCCACAGCCAGCGUUUCCCCCGGGGCAGACAGCGCCGGUGGUGUUCAGUACGCCACAAGCGACACAAAUGAACACGCCUUCUCAGCCCCGCCAGGGAGGAUUCAGGUCUCUGCAGCACUUCUACCCUAGCCGGGCCCAGCCCCCGAGCAGUGCAGCCUCCCGAGUGCAGAGUGCAGCCCCUGCCCGCCCUGGCCCAGCUGCCCAUGUCUACCCUGCUGGAUCCCAAGUAAUGAUGAUCCCUUCCCAGAUCUCCUACCCAGCCUCCCAGGGGGCCUACUACAUCCCUGGACAGGGGCGUUCCACAUACGUUGUCCCGACACAGCAGUACCCUGUGCAGCCAGGAGCCCCAGGCUUCUAUCCAGGUGCAAGCCCUACAGAAUUUGGGACCUACGCUGGCGCCUACUAUCCAGCCCAAGGGGUGCAGCAGUUUCCCACUGGCGUGGCCCCCGCCCCAGUUUUGAUGAACCAGCCACCCCAGAUUGCUCCCAAGAGGGAGCGUAAGACGAUCCGAAUUCGAGAUCCAAACCAAGGAGGAAAGGAUAUCACGGAGGAGAUCAUGUCUGGGGCCCGCACUGCCUCCACACCCACCCCUCCCCAGACGGGAGGCGGUCUGGAGCCUCAAGCUAAUGGGGAGACGCCCCAGGUUGCUGUCAUUGUCCGGCCAGAUGACCGGUCACAGGGAGCAAUCAUUGCUGACCGGCCAGGGCUGCCUGGCCCAGAGCAUAGCCCUUCAGAAUCCCAGCCUUCGUCGCCUUCUCCGACCCCAUCACCAUCCCCAGUCUUGGAACCGGGGUCUGAGCCUAAUCUCGCAGUCCUCUCUAUUUCUGGGGACACUAUGACAACUAUACAAAUGUCUGUAGAAGAAUCAACCCCCAUCUCCCGUGAAACUGGGGAGCCAUAUCGCCUCUCUCCAGAACCCACUCCUCUCGCCGAACCCAUACUGGAAGUAGAAGUGACACUUAGCAAACCGGUUCCAGAAUCUGAGUUUUCUUCCAGUCCUCUCCAGGCUCCCACCCCUUUGGCAUCUCACACAGUGGAAAUUCAUGAGCCUAAUGGCAUGGUCCCAUCUGAAGAUCUGGAACCAGAGGUGGAGUCAAGCCCAGAGCUUGCUCCUCCCCCAGCUUGCCCCUCCGAAUCCCCUGUGCCCAUUGCUCCAACUGCCCAACCUGAGGAACUGCUCAACGGAGCCCCCUCGCCACCAGCUGUGGACUUAAGCCCAGUCAGUGAGCCAGAGGAGCAGGCCAAGGAGGUGACAGCAUCAGUGGCGCCCCCCACCAUCCCCUCUGCUACUCCAGCUACGGCUCCUUCAGCUACUUGCCCAGCUCAGGAGGAGGAAAUGGAAGAAGAAGAGGAAGAGGAAGAAGGAGAAGCAGGAGAAGCAGGAGAAGCUGAGAGUGAGAAAGGAGGAGAGGAACUGCUCCCCCCAGAGAGUACCCCUAUUCCAGCCAACUUGUCUCAGAAUUUGGAGGCAGCAGCAGCCACUCAAGUGGCAGUAUCUGUGCCAAAGAGGAGACGGAAAAUUAAGGAGCUAAAUAAGAAGGAGGCUGUUGGAGACCUUCUGGAUGCCUUCAAGGAGGCGAACCCGGCAGUACCAGAGGUGGAAAAUCAGCCUCCUGCAGGCAGCAGUCCAGGCCCAGAGUCUGAGGGCAGCGGUGUGCCCCCACGUCCUGAGGAAGCAGAUGAGACCUGGGACUCAAAGGAAGACAAAAUUCACAAUGCUGAGAACAUCCAGCCCGGGGAACAGAAGUAUGAAUAUAAGUCAGAUCAGUGGAAGCCUCUAAACCUAGAGGAGAAAAAACGUUACGACCGUGAGUUCCUGCUUGGUUUUCAGUUCAUCUUUGCCAGUAUGCAGAAGCCAGAGGGAUUGCCACAUAUCAGUGACGUGGUGCUGGACAAGGCCAAUAAAACACCACUGCGGCCACUGGAUCCCACUAGACUACAAGGCAUAAAUUGUGGCCCAGACUUCACUCCAUCCUUUGCCAACCUUGGCCGGACAACCCUUAGCACCCGUGGGCCCCCAAGGGGUGGGCCAGGUGGGGAGCUGCCCCGUGGGCCGCAGGCUGGCCUGGGACCCCGGCGCUCUCAGCAGGGACCCCGAAAAGAACCACGCAAGAUCAUUGCCACAGUGUUAAUGACCGAAGAUAUAAAACUGAACAAAGCAGAGAAAGCCUGGAAACCCAGCAGCAAGCGGACGGCAGCUGAUAAGGAUCGAGGGGAAGAAGAUGCUGAUGGCAGCAAAACCCAGGACCUAUUCCGCAGGGUGCGCUCCAUCCUGAAUAAACUGACACCCCAGAUGUUCCAGCAGCUGAUGAAGCAAGUGACGCAGCUGGCCAUCGACACCGAGGAACGCCUCAAAGGGGUCAUUGACCUCAUUUUUGAGAAGGCCAUUUCAGAGCCCAACUUCUCUGUGGCCUAUGCCAACAUGUGCCGCUGCCUCAUGGCGCUGAAAGUGCCCACUACGGAAAAGCCAACAGUGACUGUGAACUUCCGAAAGCUGUUGUUGAAUCGAUGUCAGAAGGAGUUUGAGAAAGACAAAGAUGAUGAUGAGGUUUUUGAGAAGAAGCAAAAAGAGAUGGAUGAAGCUGCUACGGCAGAGGAACGAGGACGCCUGAAGGAAGAGCUGGAAGAGGCUCGGGACAUAGCCCGGCGGCGCUCUUUAGGGAAUAUCAAGUUUAUUGGAGAGUUGUUCAAACUGAAGAUGUUAACAGAGGCAAUAAUGCAUGACUGUGUGGUCAAACUGCUUAAGAACCAUGAUGAAGAGUCCCUUGAGUGCCUUUGUCGUCUGCUCACCACCAUUGGCAAAGACCUGGACUUUGAAAAAGCCAAGCCCCGAAUGGAUCAGUAUUUCAACCAGAUGGAAAAAAUCAUUAAAGAAAAGAAGACGUCAUCCCGCAUCCGCUUUAUGCUGCAGGACGUGCUGGAUCUGCGAGGGAGCAAUUGGGUGCCACGCCGAGGGGAUCAGGGUCCCAAGACCAUUGACCAGAUCCAUAAGGAGGCUGAGAUGGAAGAACAUCGAGAGCACAUCAAAGUGCAGCAGCUCAUGGCCAAGGGCAGUGACAAGCGUCGGGGUGGUCCUCCAGGCCCUCCCAUCAGCCGUGGACUUCCCCUUGUGGAUGAUGGUGGCUGGAACACAGUUCCCAUCAGCAAAGGUAGCCGCCCCAUUGACACCUCACGACUCACCAAGAUCACCAAGCCUGGCUCCAUCGAUUCUAACAACCAGCUCUUUGCACCUGGAGGGCGACUGAGCUGGGGCAAGGGCAGCAGCGGAGGCUCAGGAGCCAAGCCCUCAGACGCAGCAUCAGAAGCUGCUCGCCCAGCUACUAGUACUUUGAAUCGCUUCUCAGCCCUUCAACAAGCGGUACCCACAGAAAGCACAGAUAAUAGACGUGUGGUGCAGAGGAGUAGCUUGAGCCGAGAACGAGGCGAGAAAGCUGGAGACCGAGGAGACCGCCUAGAGCGGAGUGAACGGGGAGGGGACCGUGGGGACCGGCUUGAUCGUGCGCGGACACCUGCUACCAAGCGGAGCUUCAGCAAGGAAGUGGAGGAGCGGAGUAGAGAACGGCCCUCCCAGCCUGAGGGGCUGCGCAAGGCAGCUAGCCUCACGGAGGAUCGGGACCGUGGGCGGGAUGCCGUGAAGCGAGAAGCUGCCCUACCCCCAGUGAGCCCCCCGAAGGCGGCUCUCUCUGAGGAGGAGUUAGAGAAGAAAUCCAAGGCUAUCAUUGAGGAAUAUCUCCAUCUCAAUGACAUGAAAGAGGCAGUCCAGUGCGUGCAGGAGCUGGCCUCACCCUCCUUGCUCUUCAUCUUUGUACGGCAUGGUGUCGAGUCUACGCUGGAGCGCAGUGCCAUUGCUCGUGAGCAUAUGGGGCAGCUGCUGCACCAGCUGCUGUGUGCUGGGCAUCUGUCUACUGCUCAGUACUACCAAGGGUUGUAUGAAAUCUUGGAAUUGGCUGAGGACAUGGAAAUUGACAUCCCCCACGUGUGGCUCUACCUAGCGGAACUGGUAACACCCAUUCUGCAGGAAGGUGGGGUGCCCAUGGGGGAGCUGUUCAGGGAGAUUACAAAGCCUCUGAGACCGUUGGGCAAAGCUGCUUCCCUGUUGCUGGAGAUCCUGGGCCUCCUGUGCAAAAGCAUGGGUCCUAAAAAGGUGGGGACGCUGUGGCGAGAAGCCAGGCUUAGCUGGAAGGAAUUUCUACCUGAAGGCCAGGACAUUGGUGCAUUCGUCGCUGAACAGAAGGUGGAGUAUACCCUGGGAGAGGAGUCGGAAGCCCCUGGCCAGAGGGCACUCCCCUCCGAGGAGCUGAACAGGCAGCUGGAGAAGCUGCUGAAGGAGGGCAGCAGUAACCAGCGGGUGUUCGACUGGAUAGAGGCCAACCUGAGUGAGCAGCAGAUAGUAUCCAACACGUUAGUUCGAGCCCUCAUGACGGCUGUCUGCUAUUCUGCAAUUAUUUUUGAGACUCCCCUCCGAGUGGACGUUGCAGUGCUGAAAGCGCGAGCGAAGCUGCUGCAGAAAUACCUGUGUGACGAGCAGAAGGAGCUACAGGCGCUCUACGCCCUCCAGGCCCUUGUAGUGACCUUAGAACAGCCUCCCAGUAAGAGCCAGGCCACGGGGACAGGGGUGGGGUGGAGGGACUGCCAGAUAGCAGGGCAUGAGACCCUUCAUGGAAGGGUCUUAAUCCAAGAAAGGUAGGUAGUCAUUAGAGAGCAAAAUGCCCUCCGGGUUUCAUUCCUUCCUUUUACGUUUGUGUUGUGUUGUUCCUACAAGUGGAAGGAGUUAGACACAGCCUUGAAGGGUAAUUGCCUGUUUUGUGCCUAGCCAUGUGUUUGAUGCCAACAGUGCAGAGGUGAUAAAUGAUAGGAUCUUCCCAGUACCGUGUGCCCCCACGGCGUGGCACAGGCCUGAAAUGCUUUGCUUACCUUGCCUCAUGUAGUCCUCACAAAUGUUGUUUAGGGUGGAUGGUAUUACCCCUAUUUUCCACAUGAGGAGACUGAGGUCUCAGUGAACAUGUCUCAGGUUAUGCGUUCAGAACAUAGGUAUGUGUCAGGGCAUUGGCAUGCUCACAGAGAGGAAGCCGAGCAAUUUCCUGUGCUGGCCUGGAGUUAGUACUGGCGUGAGCAAUGAGCCUGGGAAGACGGGUGCUCUCGGAGGGAGGACACCUGGUCUGAGGGGUAAUGAGUGGUAAUUCGCUCCACAACAACUGGGAAGGGGAGGGGGAGAAUGUUUGAAGCGAAGGCACUAUGUGUGUUCUUUCUACCUGUGGUAGGAAGAACUUGACACAGGGAAAAGAACUAUUAAAGAAAGGCCAGUGUGGGAGAGCACAGCAACCAGUCCUAAGUGAGGCAAGAUGGGGCCGAAGAGAGGGAUGUGGGCCUGACCACACAGGGCCGGGUGUAAGCCAUGGCCAGAGUCUGGGGCUUUAGCCUGAGGGCAAGAAAACGCCUUUGUGGGAUUUUAAGCAAGGAAUAAAGGAAUUUGAUUUAAGUUUUUAGAUCAUCUUGGCAAUAGAGGGAAGAGUGGUUUGGAAUGGGGUGAGAGUGGAUGUGGCGGUGUUAGCACCAGUGGCUCAGCCUUGCUGGUGAUGGUGGAGAGGAGUAGGCAGAUCAAGAGAUACUUAGGAAAUGGAGUUGGCAGCUUUUGGUUACACUGGUCUGGGGAGGGGGCCAUGAGAGAUUAGAAGUCAUGGAUGACUCCCAGGAUGGUUUUUAAAUCACAGUGGGCUUAGAGGCCAUAGUGUGAUGUCAUUUGCUGGGGUAGGCAAUGGUGGAUCAAGUUGAGUUGUGGUCCUUGAGUAAGGGAAUCGAGAUGUCAGCUCAAUAGCUGGGGUAUCUGGGUCCUUUUGGAAAAGAAGAGGUCAGGGCAGGAGGCAGCUUUGUGAAAUGCCGGCGCAGGGUAACUCAUGUGCAAGUCAUAAGAGGAUACGGGCUUGCCUGAGGGAGAGUGAUAAGGGCCUGAGAUACAGCCCCAAGGAGGUAGAGCGGACAUACUGGCAGGGACCAAAGGAGGACAGGCCCCUCUGAACCAAGGACAGAGAAAUUUGAGGAGAGGGAUGUGGUUGAUAAUGCCAGAUGCUGCUGUGAGCGUUUGUAGGAGUGGGCCUGAAAAUGCAGGAUGUCUGGAAUAUAAAAACAUAGAGGCCACCCUGGCAAAAACAGUAUUUAGUGGGGCAGGGGACGGAUUCUGGAUUGGAAAGGACUGAGAAAUACUUAAGUGAGACAGAAAGAAGGGAAAACAUCAAGUGUAGACAAAAUAUUUUAUUAGCUGUAAGAUAGUGGUUGAAAACAGGGCUUUUUGUUUUUAGGUUAGAGAAACUUGGGCUUGAAAAUACAGGGCAGAGUGCAUGAUCGAUUGGAUGGGGUCCCUGGGUGGGUAUGUGUGGGAUUUGGAGUGUAGGUACGGGUUAAGUGAAGGUUCUGCCCUGCUGUGGCCCAUUGCUAUGGGGUGGGGGCAGCAGGUGACUGUGCCCCUAGGCAGUUUGUGACUUUGAGGCUGGGCAUGCCCUGCAGAACAUCCUGGCUGGCAGCAUCUCAUAGAUGGCUUAGAAGUGUAAGGUUUGGUUUGGAAAGACUGGUGGUGCCUUGUGGGCACUGGGGUGGGUUGUGUUUCAGGGGUUAUAGGACACGUUGCUUGGGAAGGCCACCCAGCAGCUAGGGGUUGAGGAGAAAGAGGGCCCGAACAGGUGAUGCUUGAGUUGAGUCCUGAAGGAACAAGACACGAGGAAGUUUCCGGCAAAGGAUAUAGCAUCCACAAAAGUGUCAAGGCCAGAGAAGACCUGCUGCGGAUGUUCUUUGAUGCGCUGUAUGACGAGGACGUGGUGAAGGAGGAUGCCUUCUACAGUUGGGAGAGUAGCAAGGACCCCGCUGAGCAGCAGGGCAAGGGUGUGGCCCUUAAAUCUGUCACAGCCUUCUUCAAGUGGCUCCGUGAGGCAGAGGAGGAGUCUGACCACAACUGAGGGCUGGUGGGGCCGGGGACCUGGAGCCCCAUGGACACACAGAUGGCCCGGCUAGCCGCCUGGACUGCAGGGGGGCGGCAGCAGCGGCGGUGGCAGUGGGUGCCUGUAGUGUGAUGUGUCUGAACUAAUAAAGUGGCUGAAGAGGCAGGAUGGCUUGGGGCUGCCUGGGCCCCCCUCCAGGAUGCCGCCAGGUGUCCCUCUCCUCCCCCUGGGGCACAGAGAUAUAUUAUAUAUAAAGUCUUGAAAUUUGGUGUGUCUUGGGGUGGGGAGGGGCACCAACGCCUGCCCCUGGGGUCCUUUUUUUUAUUUUCUGAAAAUCACUCUCGGGACUACCGUCCUCGCUGCUGGGGGCAUAUGCCCCAGCCCCUGUACCACCCCUGCUGUUGCCUGGGCAGGGGGAAGGGGGGGCACGGUGCCUGUAAUUAUUAAAACAUGAAUUCAAUUAA